UUGGGACCCAGUGCAACUACUCGGAAGCUCAUCCCAAACCCAAUGCCCCAACAUCUCCUGAGGAAAUGGUCCUUGCAAGCCCGCUGCAAAUCCUGAUCAAAAGACCUUGCCCAGUAAGAAACAUCAUGAGAGCUAACAUACUUGUAGUGUUUCUCGUGCCGCAACUGCUUCUCAACCUCUGGCAUUGUGAUGGCCAAAUACAUUGCAUCUGCCACAGCAUCCACGUUCCAUGGAUUUACCCGAAUAGCUCCGCUUAGGGACGGUGAGCACCCGAUGAACUCUGAAACCACAAUCACACUCUUCUUUGGAACACCUCCAGGAGCAGGGCUGCAUUGACGACACACUGUGUAUUUGUAGGGUACCAAAUUCAUACCAUCCCUCACCGGGUUCACCACACAGCACUCUGCCAUGGCAUAGAAGGCUGCCUUCUCAUGUGUCUGCACAGUGCGAUCGAUCAGCACAAUGGGCUCAUAU
rnacentral:lncRNA from 1 species